AUGGCCAACAGCUGCGCGAGCCUUGACACCACCUGGUCCCACCUCCCCGCUCCCGCCCCGGCUCCCUGGCCAUACGCCGCCUGGUUCUCCCCCGCCGCCGCCGCCUUUGAGAACGACGCGCUCGCCACCGCGCUCGCUCGCGCCUCCGCCUCGCCGUCCUCCCCGACCCCUUCCUCCUCCACGACCACCACCUCCUCCGCGUCCGAGCUGUCCUGCACUCCGUACGACGCGCCCGCGCUGCCCGCCGUAAGCUGCAGGCCAGCCUCGGCGGCGGCGGCGGCGCGGCACUGCACGGGCCGCGUCUCCAAGCGGAAGCCCCGGGUGUCCCGCCGCCCGCAGACCACGUACAUCACCGCCGACCCGGCCAACUUCCGUCGCAUGGUGCAGGAGAUCACCGGCUACGCCCUUCCCGGCGCGGAGAGAGCCUCCGCCGUGCCAGCGCCGCCCCGGGCGGACCCGCUCGCUUUCGUGCUCCCGACGCUGGACACGUCCGCCUGCUUCUUGCUGGACCAGGGCCAGGCGCCCUCGCUGCCGCAGCAGCGUUGGGAGGACAAGACGUCGGGCGGAGCGGCGGCGGCGACAGCAAUGCCCGCGAUGGCGGACGACUCGUCGCUGCGGCUGAUGCAGGAGCUGGAGGCCAUGGUGAGCGCGCCGCCCGCCGUGUCCUCCUUCCCGACGUUGGAGAGCUGGGGGAUGAUCUGA
rnacentral:rRNA from 1 species